ACAAAUUAUUUGAUAUUAUGUUUGUAACGGCUCGCUAAUGGUGACAUUGUCAAAUUUGCUCUAAAGUGAUUUCUAUUUUAAAUUUAAUUUAAGAAUAAUUUAAAAAAAUAUAUUGACUGAUAUAUAGGUUUUAAAUAUAUAAGUAUUGAAUUAUUAACGUUUAGGUGAAUAGACCUGAAAUGUAGUCACUAUUACAUUACGCACCCCACACCUGUACUACACCACAACACACAUUACUAGGUACCUACUUACCAAUACAUCUUUUAAAAAUUACCAACUAUAACUACUUUAAAAAAUAUUUUUAACCUCAUAGGUACCUAAUAUUUUCAAAAUAUAAAAAUAUUAUUAAGGGGUCAGCAUACAACAUGUUUAUUUGCUCAAAAACAAUAGAAUAAAUACUUAAUAGGACUCGGUUAAUUGACGCACUUACAUUUAUUGUUGGGGGAUUAUAUAUUAGGUGUAAAAAUAAAUGUAUUAUUAUUUUAUUAUACACCAGUAAAAACUAUCUGUAGACAUACCUAAUAAACGUUCAAUUAUUAUUUAAAAAAACAUAGUAUUGACGGUGGAAUAUCACUACUCCCCACCAAAAAAAUAUUUUUAUAAAUUAAUUCAUGCAGAAAUAAUGUAUAUAUCACAUCAAAAAGUUGUACGUCUACUUUAGGACCCUUCAUGAAAUAAAGAUCAUGGGCAGGUCUAAUUGAGUUAGUCCGCCUAUGUAGUCUAUGAGAAAUGGUUAGGUAUUCGUGUUUUUUUACCAAUCAAAAAUUAAAAUGUGACAUAUGAUUUAAUUUAUAAAUUAACUCACACAUUCGAGUUUCGAGUAUUGUUAUUAAUUGAAACAUAUUUUUGAAAAAACACUAAAAGGCAGUAAUCUGGUUGUUGUGGUCCAAAGAGAAUGUAAUUUACAGUGUAUUGAUAUAAAAUCUCAAAUGAUAAGGCAUCUUUUAGAUAACCAUUUAAUGAUUAUUUAUGGGGAUUGGCUUGUGCCCUGCUCAUUGUUUACAACAUAAUUAAAGACCAAAGUGCUAGUUCUUUGAAAACUAUUUAAUUAAUCAUUUAUUUUAUUAAUUUUUGAAAUUAAAGGGGCUUUCCAUAAAUUAAAAAAGCUCAUACUAAUGUGUUAUAAAAAUUAAACGGCUUCCGUAAUGUGUGUUAUAAAACCCGCAUUGGUUAACUAUUUUAUUAUAACAAUAUUUUGAAACUUAACGCAUAAAUUAGUUAAGUUUCCUCGUGGAGAAUAAGAAGCACAUUUACCGAUUCCAAUUGCCAUAGUUUAACAUGUCUGUAAAAUAUGUCUUGGUGUCUGAUGAAGAGUAUGGUGAUGUCGUUGAGUUACCAUUGGAAGAAGAUGGGACUUUGUUGUUAUCAACUCUAACAGCCCAGUUUCCGAGUGCCAGUGGUCUUAAAUUUCGUACUGAGAGCAAUGCUAUGAGAGGCGUACGAGUAGCUGACGAUCGUUUCCACGUACCUGAUAACGAUUGGGGCAAAAUUCCAUACUAUUGCGUUUUUCCUAAAGUUGAAAAUAAAAGAAAGAUUGAUGACAGUGUAGAAAAUCCAACUGCAAAAACUAAAAAAUUGGAAACUAAGUUAAAAUGUUCAGACUUGGUUGUAUUAAAUAUACCAUAUACAUAUGAUGAACAAAAACUGAAAGAAUAUUUUAGACAAUUCGGCGAACUUCUAAUGUUACAAGUUAAAAGAGACAAAAAUGGCCACUCGCGAGGAUAUGGCUUUUUAAGAUUCACUAAUUUAGAAUCACAAAUUCGUGUUUUAUCACAGCGUCAUAAAAUUGAAGGUCGAAAUUGUGAAGUAAAAAUUCCAAAAUCUAAAGAAGGUAAUAAUUCUGAAGUGUCUGGUAAAGUAUUUAUCGGUCGAGUUACUGAAGAUUUGAUGGCUGAGGAUAUCCGUGAGUAUUUUAGUAAAUUUGGAGAAGUUAUCAAUGUGUUUGUGCCAAAAAACCCAUUCCGAGGAUUUGCCUUUGUAACAUUUCUUGACCCCGAAGUGGCUGCUAGCUUGUGUGGUGAAGAUCAUAUUGUAAAAAAUAUCUCUGUACGUGUGUCUGAAGCGGCACCAAAACCUCAGGUGCCUAAACACCGACAUCAGACACCACCUCCCGUCGAACAUGGAAACAUUGCCCCUUGGGAACGGCCAAACAACUCCAAUAAUGACAAUUAUCGUAGUAAUUGGUAUCCUCCACAGCACGACAACCGCUGUAAUGUAGAUAUGCCUAAUCUACAGUCUUUGGGUAUUAAUGGACAGGACACCUAUAACCCAAUGAUACCUCUGAGCCCUGCUAUAGUAGCCGCUGCACUGACCCAAGCCGCAGGAUGGAGUUUAGUAAAUGGGCACAUGAUGAACCAGCAGCAACCACCGCCACCUCAAGUAAACAACCAAUGGCCUCAACGCAAUAACUAUAACAACAGGAAACGUUCAAAUGAUUACAAUUCAUCUGGCAAUCGAAAUUUGGCAAAAUGAUGUUUAAACAAACAUUUCAAUCUAAAAUUGAAGGAAUGCAUCUGUCAUUUGGUCUCCAAAAUAUCAGACAUUUGUAGAAAGUCGUAUUCUGUUUCCCCUAAUGGCCUAAUGAAUGAAAUAUUAGAAUCUUAAUUUAUCACUGUAUGCGAUUCAUCAUUAUACGGUAAAAUAUACAAUGAUUUAGGUAGGGAGACCCUCAAGUAUUAUUGGAAAACUGAAAUCACUUUCGAGGACAUCGUUUUUACAAAUACUAAUUAAAUAUUCAGAGAUAACUUUUAUCAUCUGGUUGUGACGAGCAUAACAUGAAUUGUGUGCUUUGAAUACUUGCAUUGUUAUGCAUUCUAUUGUUUAGAAUGUUGCAACACAACCUGUUUACACUAUUUAUUGUGAGGAAUAACAGUGGAAUCUAGGAAAUAAAACAGUACUAACAGUAAUUGUAUUAACAUAAUUUGUAUAGUAUACAUUGUUAUAUUAUAUAUUUAAAACUUUAUAAUAUAAUUUAUAACAAACUGAAAGU